UUUGUUGUUUCCCCAUGGAUAGCUACGUGUCUUUUCAAGGACGUUCAGCGUGGAUAGUGAACUUAAUUUUAAAACGCAUACUAUAAUGUUUAUCGAUCAUGCGAAUUUAAAUGCAAAUACAAAUUCAAAUAAGCCGAAUAAUAUGCAAUUUUAUAUGAAUAUUUAAUGUUGCAUAGUACAAAUAAUAUACGUAAAACAAUAAUACUUGGCUUUAUCUCGGAAUUAUUAAAAACUAACUGUAGGCGUGAGCGUCACGGACUAUACUAUUCUUGCCAAACCGAGGAUUUUGUAAUCCACGUGAAUACAAACAUGAAAUUCUGUAAACAUAUAUUUGUCGAUUAAAAUAUUUAAUGUCGCUGAUACUAUAUUGCCAAAUAAAUAAGAUACGAUUUUUUAGAAUUAAAUUCAAUUUGCUUGUUCAAUCACUAUUCAAAAGAUACGAAUAUUAUUGGCAGAAAUAUAAAAAUUUAAUAAAUUCAAUUUGAUAUGUGUCUUAAACAGCGCGUUUUCCGUAUUUUUAUUUAUUAAAUAUUAAAUAAGUAUAACAAGUAUAUUAUAAGUUGACGGUUGUAACUUGUGACGUUUGACUGUGAAUGAUUUUGAAAAUAUUCAACAAACGUAUCGGGAUGGUCGCAACUUGCUCCGCAGUCCAGAUACUUUCUAAAAUCUGCAAUGAAUGCGUGUUUAACACCGACGUAAGCUCCGAAUUUAAACUAUUAAGGUUUCUCCCUUAGUCAUUGCAAAAAAAUGCAAAACAUUUUUGAGUGUCCGAUUGCGAUUUUUCUUAAUAUUGAUAUAAUAACCUCAAGUUAUCCGGGUAUUUUAUCGGAGAAGGUUGAAUAUAAUGUUGACUAAACGU